rnacentral:rRNA from 1 species
AUUAGACUACCCGCGUAGUCCUAGCCGUAAACGAUACUCGCUAGGUGUCGGCCACGGUGCGACCGUUGUCGGUGCCGUAGGGAAGCCGUGAAGCGAGCCACCUGGGAAGUACGGCCGCAAGGCUGAAACGUUAAAGGAAUUGGCGGGGGAGCACAACAACGGGUGGAGCUUGCGGUUUAAUUGGACUCAACGCCGGGAAGCUCACCGGAUAAGACAGCGGAAUGAUUGCCGGGCUGAAGACCCUGCAUGACCAGCUG